rnacentral:rRNA from 1 species
UACGUAGGGGUGCAAGCGUUUAAUCGGAAUUACUGGGCGUAAAGCGUGCGCAGGCGGUUAUGUAAGACAGGUGUGAAAUCCCCGGGCUUAACCUGGGAACUGCAUUUGUGACUGCAUAGCUAGAGUACGGGUAGAGGGGGGAUGGAAUUCCGCGUGUAGCAGUGAAAUUCGUAGAUAUCGAGAGGAACACCGGUGGCGAAGGCGGCCAACUGGACGAAGACUGACGCUGAGACACGAAAGCGUGGGGAGCAAACAGG